UGCAGUCGAGCGGUAAGGCCUUUCGGGGUACACGAGCGGCGAACGGGUGAGUAACACGUGGGUGAUCUGCCCUGCACUCUGGGAUAAGCCUGGGAAACUGGGUCUAAUACCGGAUAUGACCACAGCAUGCAUGUGUUGUGGUGGAAAGCUUUUGUGGUGCAGGAUGGGCCCGCGGCCUAUCAGCUUGUUGGUGGGGUAAUGGCCUACCAAGGCGACGACGGGUAGCCGACCUGAGAGGGUGACCGGCCACACUGGGACUGAGACACGGCCCAGACUCCUACGGGAGGCAGCAGUGGGGAAUAUUGCACAAUGGGCGGAAGCCUGAUGCAGCGACGCCGCGUGAGGGAUGAAGGCCUUCGGGUUGUAAACCUCUUUCAGCAGGGACGAAGCGUGAGUGACGGUACCUGCAGAAGAAGCACCGGCUAACUACGUGCCAGCAGCCGCGGUAAUACGUAGGGUGCGAGCGUUGUCCGGAAUUACUGGGCGUAAAGAGUUCGUAGGCGGUUUGUCGCGUCGUUUGUGAAAACCCGGGGCUCAACUUCGGGCUUGCAGGCGAUACGGGCAGACUUGAGUGUUUCAGGGGAGACUGGAAUUCCUGGUGUAGCGGUGAAAUGCGCAGAUAUCAGGAGGAACACCGGUGGCGAAGGCGGGUCUCUGGGAAACAACUGACGCUGAGGAACGAAAGCGUGGGUAGCAAACAGGAUUAGAUACCCUGGUAGUCCACGCCGUAAACGGUGGGCGCUAGGUGUGGGUUCCUUCCACGGGAUCUGUGCCGUAGCUAACGCAUUAAGCGCCCCGCCUGGGGAGUACGGCCGCAAGGCUAAAACUCAAAGGAAUUGAC
rnacentral:rRNA from 1 species